rnacentral:rRNA from 1 species
AACGAACGCUGGCGGCAGGCUUAACACAUGCAAGUCGAGCGCCCCGCAAGGGGAGCGGCAGACGGGUGAGUAACGCGUGGGAAUGUACCCUUCUCUACGGAAUAACACAGAGAAAUUUGUGCUAAUACCGUAUACGCCCUCAGGGGGAAAGAUUUAUCGGAGAAGGAUCAGCCCGCGUAGGAUUAGCUAGUUGGUGUGGUAAUGGCGCACCAAGGCGACGAUCCUUAGCUGGUCUGAGAGGAUGAUCAGCCACAUUGGGACUGAGACACGGCCCAAACUCCUACGGGAGGCAGCAGUGGGGAAUAUUGGGCAAUGGGCGCAAGCCUGAUCCAGCCAUGCCGCGUGAGUGAUGAAGGCCUUAGGGUUGUAAAGCUCUUUCACCCGGGACGAUAAUGACGGUACCGGGAGAAGAAGCCCCGGCUAACUUCGUGCCAGCCGCCGCAGUAAAAC